UAGUCCACGCCGUAAACGAUGUCUACUCGGAGUUUGGUGCCUUGAGCACUGGGCUCCCAAGCUAACGCAUUAAGUAGACCGCCUGGGGAGUACGGCCGCAAGGUUAAAACUCAAAUGAAUUGACGGGGCCCGCACAAGCGGUGGAGCAUGUGGUUUAAUUCGAUGCAACGCGAAGAACCUUACCAGCCCUUGACAUCCUGGGAAUCUCUAAGAGAUUAGAGAGUGCCUUCGGGAAUCCAGAGACAGGUGCUGCAUGGCUGUCGUCAGCUCGUGUCGUGAGAUGUUGGGUUAAGUCCCGCAACGAGCGCAACCCUUGUCCUUAGUUGCCAGCACGUAAUGGUGGGAACUCUAAGGAGACUGCCGGUGAUAAACCGGGAGGAAGGUGGGGAUGACGUCAAGUCAUCAUGGGCCCUUAUGGGGCU
rnacentral:rRNA from 1 species